AGUGAACGCUGGCGGUAGGCCUAACACAUGCAAGUCGAACGGCAGCACAGUAAGAGCUUGCUCUUACGGGUGGCGAGUGGCGGACGGGUGAGGAAUACAUCGGAAUCUACUUUUUCGUGGGGGAUAACGUAGGGAAACUUACGCUAAUACCGCAUACGACCUACGGGUGAAAGCAGGGGAUCUUCGGACCUUGCGCGAUUGAAUGAGCCGAUGUCGGAUUAGCUAGUUGGCGGGGUAAAGGCCCACCAAGGCGACGAUCCGUAGCUGGUCUGAGAGGAUGAUCAGCCACACUGGAACUGAGACACGGUCCAGACUCCUACGGGAGGCAGCAGUGGGGAAUAUUGGACAAUGGGCGCAAGCCUGAUCCAGCCAUACUGCGUGGGUGAAGAAGGCCUUCGGGUUGUAAAGCCCUUUUGUUGGGAAAGAAAAGCAGCAGGUGAAUACCCCGCUGUUCUGACGGUACCCAAAGAAUAAGCACCGGCUAACUUCGUG
rnacentral:rRNA from 1 species